GACGAACGCUGGCGGCGUGCUUAACACAUGCAAGUCGAACGGAAAGGCCCUGCUUUUGUGGGGUGCUCGAGUGGCGAACGGGUGAGUAACACGUGAGUAACCUGCCCUUGACUUUGGGAUAACUUCAGGAAACUGGGGCUAAUACCGGAUAGGAGCUCCUGCUGCAUGGUGGGGGUUGGAAAGUUUCGGCGGUUGGGGAUGGACUCGCGGCUUAUCAGCUUGUUGGUGGGGUAGUGGCUUACCAAGGCUUUGACGGGUAGCCGGCCUGAGAGGGUGACCGGCCACACUGGGACUGAGAUACGGCCCAGACUCCUACGGGAGGCAGCAGCGGGGAAUAUUGCACAAUGGGCGGAAGCCUGAUGCAGCAACGCCGCGUGCGGGAUGACGGCCUUCGGGUUGUAAACCGCUUUCGCCUGUGACGAAGCGUGAGUGACGGUAAUGGGUAAAGAAGCACCGGCUAACUACGUG
rnacentral:rRNA from 1 species